rnacentral:rRNA from 1 species
GAAAGCCCGGGCAACUGGGUAAGUAGAGUGGCGCACGGGUGAGUAACACGUGGGUAACCUACCUUCGAGUGGGGAAUAACUCCUCGAAAGGGGAGCUAAUACCGCAUAAGACCACGACUUCUUCGGAGGUCGCGCUCAAAGGUGGCCUCAUCAAGCAGAGCGUUUGGGACGAUCUUCCCGAUGCGGAAGAUGGUCCUCAGCGCUUUGCACAGUGAAGCUGCCGCUUGAAGAGGGGCCCGCGGCCCAUCAGCUAGUUGGUAGGGUAACGGCCUACCAAGGCGACGACGGGUAGCUGGUCUAAGAGGACGACCAGCCACACGGGAAUUGAGAUACGGUCCCGACUCCUACGGGAGGCAGCAGUGGGGAAUCUUGGGCAAUGGGGGAAACCCUGACCCAGCGACGCCGCGUGGGGGAUGAAGGCCUUCGGGUUGUAAACCCCUGUUAGGUGGGACGAACACCCUCUUGCAAAUAGCAGGGGGGUCUGACGGUACCACCAGAGAAAGCCCCGGCUAACUCCGUGCCAGCAGCCGCGGUAAUACGGAGGGGGCUAGUGUUGUUCGGAAUUACUGGGCGUAAAGGGCGCGCAGGCGGCUUGGCAAGUCGAGUGUGAAAUCCCUUGGCUUAACUGAGGAAUGGCGCUCGAAACUACCUCGCUAGAGGACGGGAGAGGGAAGUGGAACUCUCGGUGUAGGGGUGAAAUCUGUAGAUAUCGAGAGGAACACCGGUGGCGAAGGCGGCUUCCUGGCCCGUAUCUGACGCUGAGGCGCGAAAGCGUGGGGAGCAAACAGGAUUAGAUACCCUGGUAG